GGGUGACGAGUGGCGGACGGGUGAGUAAUGUCUGGGAAACUGCCCGGUGGAGGGGGAUAACUACUGGAAACGGUAGCUAAUACCGCAUAACGUCUUCGGACCAAAGUGGGGGACCUUAGGGCCUCACGCCACCGGAUGUGCCCAGAUGGGAUUAGCUAGUAGGUGGGGUAACGGCUCACCUAGGCGACGAUCCCUAGCUGGUCUGAGAGGAUGACCAGCCACACUGGAACUGAGACACGGUCCAGACU
rnacentral:rRNA from 1 species